rnacentral:rRNA from 1 species
CAGUCGCCGCGGUAAUACGGAGGGUGCAAGCGUUAAUCGGAAUUACUGGGCGUAAAGCGUGCGUAGGCGGUUUGUUAAGUCUGCUGUGAAAUCCCCGGGCUCAACCUGGGAAUGGCAGUGGAUACUGGCAAGCUAGAGUGUGUCAGAGGAUGGUGGAAUUCCCGGUGUAGCGGUGAAAUGCGUAGAGAUCGGGAGGAACAUCAGUGGCGAAGGCGGCCAUCUGGGACAACACUGACGCUGAGGCACGAAGGCGUGGGGAGCAAACAGGAUUAGAUACCCCCGUAGUCCCUGUCUCUUAUAC